AAAUAAACUAAAAAUGUUAUUUGAAAUAAAUUAAAAAAAUUUAUUAAAUUAUCUUUUUUUUUGUAAUAAAUAAUUUUACUUUUUAUUACCGUUCACCGUGGAAAAGUAUUGAAAAUACAUAGACCAUGUUGGUCGUCGGUUAGCUCAUCAAAUUCAAGCUUCCGUACAAAUAAUUUUUCAUUGAACUUCUUUUUUUUUUUUUAAUUU
rnacentral:misc_RNA from 1 species